rnacentral:rRNA from 1 species
CAGUCGAACGGACUCAUAUUGAAACCUAGUGAUUUAUGAGUUAGUGGCGGACGGGUGAGUAACGCGUGGAUAACCUGCCGUAUACCGGGGGAUAACACUUAGAAAUAGGUGCUAAUACCGCAUAAGCGCACGGCUCCGCAUGGGGCAGUGUGAAAAACUCCGGUGGUAUACGAUGGAUCCGCGUCUGAUUAGCUAGUUGGCGGGGUAACGGCCCACCAAGGCAGCGAUCAGUAGCCGGCCUGAGAGGGUGGACGGCCACAUUGGGACUGAGACACGGCCCAAACUCCUACGGGAGGCAGCAGUGGGGAAUAUUGCACAAUGGGGGAAACCCUGAUGCAGCGACGCCGCGUGAGUGAAGAAGUAUCUCGGUACGUAAAGCUCUAUCAGCAGGGAAGAAAAUGACGGUACCUGACUAAGAAGCCCCGGCUAACUACGUGCCAGCAGCCGCGGUAAUACGUAGGGGGCAAGCGUUAUCCGGAUUUACUGGGUGUAAAGGGAGCGUAGACGGCAGCACAAGUCUGGAGUGAAAUCCCGGGGCUUAACCCCGGAACUGCUUUGGAAACUGUGCGGCUGGAGUGCAGGAGGGGUAAGCGGAAUUCCUAGUGUAGCGGUGAAAUGCGUAGAUAUUAGGAGGAACACCGGUGGCGAAGGCGGCUUACUGGACUGUAACUGACGUUGAGGCUCGAAAGCGUGGGGAGCAAACAGGAUUAGAUACCCUGGUAGUCCACGCCGUAAACGAUGAUUACUAGGUGUCGGGGGACCAAGGUCCUCCGGUGCCGGCGCAAACGCAUUAAGUAAUCCACCUGGGG